rnacentral:lncRNA from 1 species
UGUGGCCCCCACAUCUCAGCAGUCGGCAGGCAGGACGGAUGAGCUGUAGGAGCUGCUGACACUCCCAGGACAGGCAAGCUAAUGAGAAACUGGCCGACUUGGAGGGAUGGUCCUGUGAUGCAUGGGUGGGGCCAGGAGAGGUGCCUAGGCUGAGGGGCAGGGAACAGGGAGGGGAAGUCCUGGUCCCACUCAGGAACAUGCUCUGACACGGCGGGGGUGGGACUUCGGUAUCUUCCUCUGGGUGGCAGAGUCACAAGGCAGGGGUGGGAGCUCCCUGCAGGAUGGGCGUGGUAGUCGGGGGCAGCACCAACAGAAUCUCCAGAGAGAGGGGUCCACUCGGGUAGGAGGAUGAUGGGGUCACCAACCCUUUGGGUUCCACAGGGGUCUGGAGACAUGGGAGCAGCAGGACCUGAGAGCUGCCAAGGGCAGAGAGAAGGGAAGCCCCCACCAGCUCAGAACCUGGAGGAGCUGCAGGAGAGGGGCAGGGGCUGCCUGGGCCUCAGUGUGGCCUGCCUGUGCCCGCCUGGAGCCCCUCAUCGCCCAGCCAGGCCCGGCGCCCCGCCCGUUCUGGCCUGUCCUGUGGGCUGCUGUGCAGGCAUGGACAUGUGACCGGUGACACAGGAAGGGCUGACGUGGGUGGACAGAAGAGCCACAGAGGAGUUCAGGGGCGGGAGGCGAUGACUCCAGGGCCUCAGAUGGCGUGGGGGUCAGACAGAUGGUGUUCCUAGGACUUGGUUCUCAUGGGUGUGGGAUAGGAUUUAGAGUAGGUUCAACUAUUACCCAGGCUGGGGCGGGGGCAAUCUUCUAGGGUCCAAGCCUGGGCUCUUGUGUAACACUGGGAAACUGAUUACCUGAGGAUACACAUGUAGUGGGAAACAAGGCCGAGGCCUUGGUGGGGAAGGGGCCCCUGGGAGGUGGGCAGCAGAGUCGGGGAACCCAGGAAAACUGCUCUGCCCUGUGGGCAGCCCAGUCUUGGGCUGGAUAUUGGUGGGGUUAGCUUUCUAGGUUGUCUUCGGUCAGUCAUCUUUCUUGUGCCCAGGUGUGGUCUGAGGCCCUUCCUGAUGACACACACAUCUCUCAGGCAAGAUGGUUUCCAGCAGGAGUGUUUCUGGGAAGUUGGCAGGACAUAGUAUAGGCUGGCCUCACCCGCCUCCUUCUGGCCCCCCAGAAGUCUCCAGUUAGAUUUCGGCAGUAGCUUCUCAGUAACGCACACCUUACAGGGAACUCCUAUUUUGAGACAACUCAGGCAAGUGCUUAUUAUUGUGUUUUUACUGGUGGGGGAGGGGGAGGAGGUUUUAGGCAAUGGUUCUGUAAAAAUACUGUCCCCUCCUCCCACCCUGAGACACUACAGACUUAUUCAGAUAAUUCUUGCAUAAUCGGAGUGGAAAUCAGGUUGAUUAUAAUCUUUGCAGCCAAAGAUGGAGAAGCUCUAUACAGUCAGCA